CUGGGACUGAACUCCACCCAGAUGCCAGCUGGCUGGCCCUGCCCUGCUGGAGGCGCCAUCUCUGGGACCCAGCUGGGGCCUGGCCUGGGAGCCAGCAUGGCCAUCCAGAAAGCGGUGCUGAUGUGCCUGGGACUGCCUCUCUUCCUACUCCCAGGGGCCCAGGCCCAGAACCACGCCCCAUCUGGCUGCAGCCCGGACCUCAGCCCCCUCUAUUACAACCUGUGUGACCGCUCCGGGGCUUGGGGCAUCAUCUUGGAGGCAGUGGCGGGGGCGGGCAUCGUCACCACCUUUGUCCUCACCAUCGUCCUCGUGGCCAGCCUCCCCUUCGUGCAGGACACCAAGAAGCGGAGCCUGCUGGGGACCCAGGUGUUCCUCCUGCUGGGGACCCUGGGCCUCUUCUGCCUCGUCUUUGCCUGCGUGGUGAAGCCUGACUUCUCCACCUGUGCCUCUCGGCGCUUCCUCUUUGGGGUCCUGUUCGCCAUCUGCUUCUCCUGCCUAGUGGCCCACGUGAUAGCCCUCAACUUCCUGGUCCGGAAGAACCACGGGCCCCGGGGCUGGGUGGUCUUCAUCGUGGCCCUGCUGCUGAGCCUCGUGGAGGUGAUCAUCAACACGGAGUGGCUGAUCAUCACGCUGGUGCGGGGAGGGGGCGGCGAGGGUGGCCCUCCGGCCAAUGGCAGUGCCGGCUGGGCCACCGCCUCCCCCUGUGCCAUCGCCAACGUGGACUUUGUCAUGGCGCUGAUCUACGUCAUGCUGCUGCUGUCCUGCGCCUUUGCGGGGGCCUGGCCCGCCCUGUGCGGCCGCUUCAAGCGCUGGCGGAAGCACGGGGUCUUCGUGCUGCUCACCACGGCCGCCUCCAUCGCCAUCUGGGUGGCGUGGGUCGUCAUGUACACCUACGGCAACCAGCGGCGCAAGAGCCCCACGUGGGAUGACCCCACGCUGGCCAUCACCCUCGCCGCCAAUGCCUGGGCCUUUGUGCUCUUCUAUGUCAUCCCUGAGGUCUCCCAGGUGACCAAGGCCAGCCCGGAGCAGAGCUACCAGGGGGACCUGUACCCCACCCGGGGCGUGGGCUACGAGACCAUCCUGAAAGAGCAGAAGGGCCAGAGCAUGUUUGUGGAAAACAAGGCAUUUUCCAUGGACGAGCCAGCCUCAGCUAAGAGACCAGUGUCACCGUACAGCGGGUACAACGGGCAGCUGCUGACCGGUGUGUACCAGCCCACCGAGAUGACCCUGAUGCACAAAGCCCCGUCUGAAGGAGCUUACGACGUCAUCCUCCCACGGGCCACUGCUAACAGCCAGGUGAUGGGCAGUGCCAACUCCACCCUGCGGGCCGAAGACAUCUACGCAGCCCAGAGCCACCAGGAUGCCACCCUGCCGAAGGAAGGCAAGAACUCUCAGCUCCCAGGAAAGCCGCUGCUGACUUUUCCUUCUGUGCAACGAAGUAGCUGACACCUCUCCCCAGGGAAGAGUUCUUCAGCUAAGCCUGGAGUCAAGAUCCCAGAACCAGACCAUUUUAGGGUUAGACAGGGCCUUGGGGGCUCAGUCCCCGAAAAAUAAUACAAGAUGGUAGACGCCCUCUUCCCUGGACCGCACGUCGUUCUGCUGUCCUCAUUCCUCUGUGUCCAGGCUGGGCAGGGCCCUUGUCACUGGAGCGGGAAGGGCCCGGAGGCCACCGAUCUGGAGCAGUGGAGUCAGGGGCCGUGUGAAACCCUGGGGCAUGUGGCUGGGGCUAUGGGCCACCCCCCCCCCCUUCCCGGCCCCGCAAUUCCUGCCCAGCCCAGCCUCUCCUGGUCCCCAAGUGACCUGAGACCACAGGAGCGGUCUGCAGACACCCAGCCUCCCUCUGGACGCCCUCCCCCAACAUCACAGCCCCUGUGCCCCUCUACUGUGGGUCUCCAGAUGGCCAUCUUUCCUGGCCAUCUUUCGGUUCCAGCCUCAGCCUGUCCCACCCUGCUCCAAGGCGAAGCCAAACCAUGGCGAAGCUGGCCCUUGCCCUUCUCACCAGCUCCUCCUGCCACCACCUGGACGGUGGAAGGCCGCUGAGCUGGGCAAAGCUCACUCAAGACCUGGACAGAUCGUGCCUCUCUUCCUGGCCUGUGGGUCCUGGAUCUGAGCCCCUCUGCAUCACCACCUGAUACCUUCAUUGAACCAGGUCCCAUCAAGACAAAGUAGGGGGUAGGGCUGCAUUCUCAGGGGUCAACUGAGAGUCCUGGGCCAGAUGGACCGGGGUCUAGGCCUCUCCCAGGACUGAGACUUGUGGGACUGGGGGCAGCCCCUGCGAUAAGUGGUGUCCAGGACUGAAGAUUGUGCCAUUUCCUGAUGGGCAGAUGGCUAGGUUUCUGCCUCACCUUGGGCACCUCGACAGUGCUGGUGCCGCUGUCAUCACCCAUGACAUGCUCCACCAGGUCCUGAUGGCCACCAAGGGAAGUGGGGGCAUCCUGGCGACCUGCACGAUGCUGGCACCAACAAAGAUGUGCACAUGGCUCCAGACUCGUGGGAACGACAUCUCUGUAGUGUCUCCUUGGCCUCCUGCCCUUGGGUACCGGAGCUGGCUCAUCCAAGGGGCUCAAGCCAGGUGUGUCCCCGGAGCUCACCUCUGCCUGCUGAGAUGAGAGAGGAUGAGCACAGCGCAGGUGCUGACCCCGUAGGCGGCCCCACAGCCCUCACCCCCACCCCAGCGCCACCCCCCUGCCCCCAGCACCACCCCCCUGCCCCCAGCACCUGUGCCUUUGUCGCCAGCAUAUUUCUCCAGGGCUAAGUUGGGUGAACAGGCCCUGCAGAGACUGAUGGAAGGGGAGGGGGGAGCUCUGAGCGCCCCGGACUCCUUGUGAUCUAGGUUAGUAGCCCCAAAUCCCUCACAGUGAAUAAAGGCUCUAUCUCGCUUUUUGA